GUUAAAUGCAGAGCACAAAUCCUGAGUAUAGGUUACUAAACUUGGCCACACGUCAGGUCACUUCACUUAACAUACAGAACAGGAUU